GAUGAACGCUGGCGGCGUGCCUAAUACAUGCAAGUCGAGCGAACAGACGAGGAGCUUGCUCCUCUGACGUUAGCGGCGGACGGGUGAGUAACACGUGGAUAACCUACCUAUAAGACUGGGAUAACUUCGGGAAACCGGAGCUAAUACCGGAUAAUAUAUUGAACCGCAUGGUUCAAUAGUGAAAGACGGUUUUGCUGUCACUUAUAGAUGGAUCCGCGCCGCAUUAGCUAGUUGGUAAGGUAACGGCUUACCAAGGCGACGAUGCGUAGCCGACCUGAGAGGGUGAUCGGCCAGACUGGAACUGAGACACGGUCCAGACUCCUACGGGAGGCAGCAGUAGGGACUCUUCCGCAAUGGGCGAAAGCCUGACGGAGCAACGCCGCGUGAGUGAUGAAGGUCUUCGGAUCGUAAAACUCUGUUAUUAGGGAAGAACAAAUGUGUAAGUAACUAUGCACGUCUUGACGGUACCUAAUCAGAAAGCCAGGGGUAACUACGUG
rnacentral:rRNA from 1 species